CCUACGGGUGGCUGCAGUGGGGAAUAUUGGACAAUGGGCGAAAGCCUGAUCCAGCCAUGCCGCGUGUGUGAAGAAGGCCUUCGGGUUGUAAAGCACUUUCAGUGGGGAAGAAAGCCUUGAGUCUAAUACCCUCGAGGAAGGACAUCACCCACAGAAGAAGCACCGGCUAACUCCGUGCCAGCAGCCGCGGUAAUACGGAGGGUGCAAGCGUUAAUCGGAAUUACUGGGCGUAAAGCGCGCGUAGGCGGUCUGAUAAGCCGGUUGUGAAAGCCCCGGGCUCAACCUGGGAACGGCAUCCGGAACUGUCAGGCUAGAGUGUAGUAGAGGAAGGUAGAAUUCCCGGUGUAGCGGUGAAAUGCGUAGAGAUAGGGAGGAAUACCAGUGGCGAAGGCGGCUUUCUGGACUGACACUGACGCUGAGGUGCGAAAGCGUGGGUAGCAAACAGGAUUAGAUACCCUAGUAGUC
rnacentral:rRNA from 1 species